AUUCGGGCCCAAACAGGAGCAAGAUUUAGGGGUUGCAGUGGGUGGAUUCAGCAGGAAUCCCCUCGCCCCAAUGAAAAAUUUAGAUGGGACGGAACGGAACGGGGUGGAAGUGGAGAUUCAUCAUGAUCAACUCUUAGAUUCCAAAUUUUAAGAGACAUGUUGGUAUGAUUUGAUUGCAUUUAUUUUUCUUUCGUCCCCGAUGCUUUCAUGUGAUUUAGAGAUUAAUAGAAGAGACGAAGUGUUUGAUGCUAACACUCUGUAUCAUCUACUAUUUGGUUUGUAAUGGAUGAAUUGCCGUACCCAUCAUUUUCAGAAUGUCACAUUCCCAGAGAAUCUGAAAGUGAAUAAUACAUGAUUCCAAUAUGCUAAUUUUUCUUCAAAAGAUGGAAAACAAAUGAUGAAAUUCAUUACUGGUACAAAAAAAAAAAAAAAGUUGAAACGGAAAAAUUCCAAUCAACACUGUUUCUCAUUUUCCUUAUACAUCCACAAUCAGACAAAUAGAUAAAAGCAAAAAGAAAGUAAGAAAAUUUAGGGAGGUGGAGGCCCCGGCUCAAACAGUGGAGGGCAGCAGCUUCCAAACAGGCCACAGCAGCACAAGAACCACAAGCUGCAAAAAGGGAAGCCAGUCCACAAGUAAGUGCAAGAAAAUGAUGAAUUCUAGCUUCAUUGCUCCAUAACCAUGAACCCCAAAAGAAGACAAAUGAAGAGAAAAAUAUGUUAAUUACCAUGACUCCAGGAGUCCACCAGAAGGAGCAGGCGAGAGCAGCGGUGUUUGGGGCGGUGGCGGAUCCAUGGGAGGACUGAGGAGAGGGGCUGUGCAACAAGGAGUGGAUCUAUAUCGGCAAGCAGAAGGUAUAUAUCUUUAGAAACAUAGAGUACAACAACCUUCCCUUGGUCAUUCAUAGCUCCAUCUACCAGUCAACCUCAACCAUAUUGGUAUCAAUACUCCCAAUUUAUUGCCAUUCAACUAACGAAUGAGGUGCAGAGCUCUGAUCCUCUGACUAACCCUUAAUUGGAGGUGGCGAAAUGGAUACUAGAGACUGAUUUGUUAAGCCGCCCACCAACCAGUCUUCUAAUAUCGUCACUGUUUGCUGUCGGAUUGAACUAAAAUUAAAUAUAAGAGUAGUACAGUACCUGGCUGGCAUUAUCUUCUUCGCUACAAUUUGGAUCCGAAAUCUCGCCAUGAUGCACGUUAGCGUUGAAGGGAGGGGAACCAAUAAAGCCUGGCUGUCAAGAGAGAGGCCCCCACGAGAACAUUGAGAGAUUUUUCUUGUAUCAUUUGUUGAGUUACGAAGAAAAUAUUGUUGAGUUGUGAAGUUGAGUCAAUUUUGUUGUACUUCACACACAUGUUGAGGUUAAGCUCUUGACUCAGCUCGUGAGUUUUCCCCGAUCAUAUAUUUAACUUUUUUUUGUUUUAAGGUUUUGUUUUGUUACAUUUCAUUUGAGAUUUCGAAUAUCGAACUCUUGGUUGAGCUCGUGAGUUUGCUUUUAUUAUAUAUUUAACUUUUCAA